AGUUUUUAACUAGCACACGCGUUGCAAAAUUAGUCAAUUUACGUUCAGUCGGCGCUCUCAUCUGCUUCGGGAUGAGUUACUUCAAGGCAUUGAAUGUGAAUGAGAGCAAUUUUCUGUAGUUCUUGUCUAUAUUGCAAGGUAAUCAUGACCGAAUCCGACGAAUAUGGAAGCAUGUGGGACACGGAAGCAUUACUGAAGGUCAAAGACAAAGUACCAGAGGGUGAUUUGGAAAGUGAUGCUGGCAGUGAUCGUUU